AUGAACGCUGGCGGCGUGCCUAAUACAUGCAAGUCGAGCGAACAGACGAGGAGCUUGCUCCUCUGACGUUAGCGGCGGACGGGUGAGUAACACGUGGAUAACCUACCUAUAAGACUGAGAUAACUUCGGGAAACCGGAGCUAAUACCGGAUAAUAUAUUGAACCGCAUGGUUCAAUAGUGAAAGACGGUUUUGCUGUCACUUAUAGAUGGAUCCGCGCCGCAUUAGCUAGUUGGUAAGGUAACGGCUUACCAAGGCAACGAUGCGUAGCCGACCUGAGAGGGUGAUCGGCCACACUGGAACUGAGACACGGUCCAGACUCCUACGGGAGGCAGCAGUAGGGAAUCUUCCGCAAUGGGCGAAAGCCUGACGGAGCAACGCCGCGUGAGUGAUGAAGGUCUUCGGAUCGUAAAACUCUGUUAUUAGGGAAGAACAAAUGUGUAAGUAACUAUGCACGUCUUGACGGUACCUAAUCAGAAAGCCACGGCUAACUACGU
rnacentral:rRNA from 1 species